CCUACGGGAGGCUGCAGUGAGGAAUAUUGGUCAAUGGGCGCGGGGCUGAACCAGCCAAGUCGCGUGAGGGAUGACUGCCCUAUGGGUUGUAAAUUUCUUUUGUCAGGGAGUAAAGGGCGCCACGUGUGGCGUUUUGUGUGUACCUUAAGAAAAAGCAUCGGCUAACUCCGUGCCAGCAGCCGCGGUAAUACGGAGGAUGCGAGCGUUAUCCGGAUUUAUUGGGUUUAAAGGGUACGCAGAUGGGAUGUUAAGUCAGUGGUGAAAGUUUGGGGCUCAACCGUCAAAUUGCCAUUGAUACUGGCGUUCUUGAGUAGACGAGAAGUAUGCGGAAUGCGUGGUGUAGCGGUGAAAUGCUUAGAUAUCACGCAGAACUCCGAUUGCGAAGGCAGCAUACCAACGUGCGACUGACACUGAUGCACGAAAGCGUGGGUAUCGAACAGGAUUAGAUACCCCAGUAGUC
rnacentral:rRNA from 1 species